CAACGUACUCCAUACUGCAAGGAACAUGCGUAUGCAAUGCAAUGGAUAACACACACGAGUAUAGCUUAGCUACAGGAGAAUAUAAAUCUAUCUAGCUAUGGUCAUCUCAUCAGGGACAUGUCUUGCUGAGGCGUCUACGAAGCCAUCAAUGUAUGGUGAUGAUGUUGUCAGAUACACCAGAGGGAUUGCAAUGCAAAGCUCUGCAUCGAUCUCUUCCAUUCACGGGCAGCAGUAGUAGAUAAAGAAGCCAUCCUGCACCUUGCCUUUGCAUGCACAUGGACACAGAACAAGGGUUCAUAGAAGCCAGAUCGAUAGAGUGUGUGAAUCCUGGACAGAAUGGCUGCCUGAUUGCAGUUGUUUCCCACAGUACAAAGAGCCACUACCAGUGAAGUAAGAAGUGAAGUGAGCUUACAGAGAGAGUGAGAGAGACAGCUACUCCUAGAUAGCUCAGAGAGAAAGCGAGACAUCAGCUAGCUCUCUCAUCUUCUUGCUCUCAUGGGCGUCUUGGUUAGUGGUGGCUUGUGAGAUCCGGCAGUCCGGGGAGAGGAUUCGCUGCUUCGUCUGAUCGGUUCUUGCAUGGCAAGAGCUCCAUGGAUUGGACAUGGAAGACCAGCACCAGCUGCUGCGCGGUCGCUCGUCGGCCUCGGCCUGUGCGUUUUCGUCUGCGCCGUCAUGCUCGUCGCGUCGCUGUCUCCUCCUCCGGGGGAAGAGGGUACGACGGUGCGGUCGUCGUUGCCGGCGGCUGCGGCUGCGGCGUCGACGUCGGUGCAGGCCGGCGGACGGC
rnacentral:lncRNA from 1 species